CCUACGGGGGGCAGCAGUGGGGAAUAUUGGACAAUGGGGGGAACCCUGAUCCAGCCAUGCCGCGUGUGUGAAGAAGGCCCUCGGGUUGUAAAGCACUUUCAGUGAGGAAGAACGCCUGGUGGUUAAUACCCAUCAGGAAAGACAUCACUCACAGAAGAAGCACCGGCUAACUCCGUGCCAGCAGCCGCGGUAAUACGGAGGGUGCGAGCGUUAAUCGGAAUUACUGGGCGUAAAGCGCGCGUAGGUGGCUUGAUAAGCCGGUUGUGAAAGCCCCGGGCUCAACCUGGGUACGGCAUCCGGACUGUUAAACUAAGGGUGCAGGAGAGAAGGUAGAAAUCCCCGGUGUGGGGUGAAAAUGGGUGGAGACCGGAGGAAUACCAGUGGCGAAGGCGGCCUUCUGGACUGACACUGACACUGAGGUGCGAAAGCGUGGGUAGCAAACAGGAUUAGAUACCCCAGUAGUC
rnacentral:rRNA from 1 species